rnacentral:rRNA from 1 species
AUGAAGAUCCUAUUUGCUGAAUAUGCAUCUGAAUUUGGAAACACUUCUGAUGAAGGUGAUGAGGUUGCAGAGAAGGAUGGUGAGGGCACUCUUGAUGACUGGGAUAAGCAUUUGAGAUUGAAAAGAUCCCAUAACUCAAAUGAGCUACAACGAUAUCUUGAAGAAGACUUGUUUCCUCGCCGACAGAAAUUGGAUAUCUUAAAGUGGUGGAAGAUUCACUCCCCAAAGUAUCUGGUGCUUGCAGCUAUAGCACAGAACAUAUGGGAGUGUCCGCGUCUACAGUGCAUGGGGAGGUUGCAUUCAGCAAUGCUGGAAGGAUCAUCACUGAACAAAGAAGUAGUUUGA